rnacentral:rRNA from 1 species
GGAAUACCCGCUGAACUUA